CGAAGGCUAAGUACUCCUUACUGACCGAUAGUGAACCAGUACCGUGAGGGAAAGGUGAAAAGCACCCCGACGAGGGGAGUGAAACAGUACCUGAAACCGAACGCCUACAAUCAGUCGGAGCCCCCUUGCGGGGUGACGGCGUACCUUUUGUAUAAUGGGUCAUCGACUUGGUCUAUCUAGCAAGCUUAAGCCGUUAGGUGUAGGCGCAGCGAAAGCGAGUCUGAAUAGGGCGCAUGAGUUAGAUGGAUCAGACCCGAAACCGAGUGAUCUAGGCAUGGCCAGGUUGAAGGUUGGGUAACACCAACUGGAGGACCGAACCCACAUCCGUUGAAAAGGAUCGGGAUGAGCUGUGCCUAGGGGUGAAAGGCCAAUCAAACUCGGAGAUAGCUGGUUCUCUGCGAAAUCUAUUUAGGUAGAGCGUCAUCCGAAUACCCCCGGGGGUAGAGCACUGGAUGGG
rnacentral:rRNA from 1 species